UACGUAGGGGGCUAGCGUUGUCCGGAAUCAUUGGGCGUAAAGAGCGCGUAGGCGGCCCGGUAAGUCCGCUGUGAAAGUCAAAGGCUCAACCUUUGAAUGUCAGCGGAUACUGCCGGGCUAGAGUCCGGAAGAGGCGAGUGGAACUCCUGGUGUAGCGGUGGAAUGCGCAGAUAUCAGGAAGAACACCAACGGCGAAGGCAGCUCGCUGGGACGGAACUGACGCUGAGGCGCGAAAGCGUGGGGAGCAAACAGG
rnacentral:rRNA from 1 species